rnacentral:tRNA from 1 species
GUGUAACUCAGUGAUAAGAGUGCUUGCCUAGCAUGCAUAAGACCCUGGGUUCAAACCCCAACAC